AAUGUACUCCCUCCGUCCCAAAAUUCUUGUCUUAGAUUAGUCUAGAUACGGAUGUAUCUAAUACUAAAACGUGACUUGAUACAUCCGUAUUUAGACAAAUCUAAGACAAGAAUUUUGGGAUGGAGAAGUAUCUC
rfam:Triticum urartu cultivar G1812 contig943224, whole genome shotgun sequence.